rnacentral:tmRNA from 1 species
GGGGAUGUUUGGUCUCGACAGGAAAUCGUCCUUUGAAAAUCAAAAGCAAGCGUGCUAACUCGCUUGUAAAUAUAAUUAGCAAUCAAAUAAGUGCAAAACUAUCUAACAAAGUUGGGAAAGUAUUCGCAAAUGUCGCUUCAACUUUUGUAGCAGCAUUUCGACUUCCCGAAUUUGCACCUGCAGUAGCUUAAAUCCUAUUGCCGUCUGAUAUUUAUCUCUCCCAAGGAUAAUAUUAAGGCGUUAACCUUUUGGGGUGCGGUCUCUUUCGUGUUCUCUUACGAAAGAAGCUUAAGACAAAUUAGAGAAGAGAUCAGAUCUUUUUUGUCUAUUUUAUACUCUGAUUUCUUUAAAAUUAAAUAGACUAUCUUUUGUAAUAAUUUUCAAUGCGGUAAUUUUUCUGGACAGGGGUUCGAUUCCCCUCAUCUCCAUAC